rnacentral:rRNA from 1 species
UACGGAGGGAGCGAGCGUUGUCCGAAGUUACUGGGCGUAAAGGGCGCGUAGGCGGAUGGCACAGUCAGAUGUGAAAUUCCCGGGCUUAACCUGGGGGCUGCAUUUGAUACGUGUUGUCUUGAGUUCGGAAGAGGGUCGUGGAAUUCCCAGUGUAGAGGUGAAAUUCGUAGAUAUCGGGAGGAACACCUGUGGCGAAAGCGGCUCACUGGACCACAACUGACGCUGAGGCGCGAAAGCUAGGGGAGCAAACAGG